GGAAGGGCUGUGGCUUAGUGGUAGAGCAUCUGCUUUCCCUGCAGAAGGUCUCAGGUUCGAUCCCUAGCAUUUCCA